CUCUCAGGUUAUUAUCGAAUAAGCAUACGUGAAGUACAGUUUACUCGUAGUUUAAAAAAUGAAGCUGUUUUGCAUUUCUCUGUUAGUUUUAGUGGCGUUGGUGGAAUGUAAGCAUACGUUUAUGGGCACCAAUGUCCUAAGACCACAGUUGUACCACGCUAUUAUUACUCAUCAUGCGUUGGUCUUCAGGAAGCGUGUGGAGAAUCUCAGUUACACCAUACCCAACUUGGCUGGAAAUGCUGGAAGGACUAUACAGGGAAUAUUGGCAUGGGACUUGACCAACACUGACGCAUCCGCCAACGUGACCCAGGGCGGGAUUGGGUACAACUACGUCAACCUUCGCAUGAAGAGCUCACGAGGGGAGGAUCUGAAAUUUGAAGUUUUCAUAUACGCUUAAAAUGUAACCCUAUCCAUGAGCAAAAGAUGAAAAUAAAGAUUUAAUGCUGUUUA